rnacentral:tRNA from 1 species
GCCAUCGUGGUUUAAUGGUCAGCACACUGGGUGCAUAUUCCAGAGGCCCGCGGUUCGAGUCCCGGCGAAGGCG